rnacentral:rRNA from 1 species
UACGUAGGGGGCUAGCGUUGUCCGGAAUCAUUGGGCGUAAAGAGCGCGUAGGCGGCUAGAUAAGUCCGGUGUGAAAGUCACAGGCUCAACCUGUGAAUGCCGCUGGAAACUGUGUGACUAGAGUUCUGGAGGGGUAGCUGGAAUUCCAGGUGUAGGGGUGAAAUCUGUAGAUAUCUGGAAGAACAUCAGUGGCGAAGGCGAGCUACUAGCCAAGGACUGACGCUGAGACACGAAAGCGUGGGGAGCAAACAGG